rnacentral:rRNA from 1 species
UGGGGAAUAUUGCGCAAUGGGGGAAACCCUGACGCAGCAACGCCGCGUGAGCGAUGAAGGCCUUCGGGUUGUAAAGCUCUGUCAGGAGGGACGAAAAGGAUCGGUUGAAUAGGCCGAUUUCUUGACGGUACCUCCAAAGGAAGCCCCGGCUAACUCCGUGCCAGCAGCCGCGGUAAUACGGAGGGGGCGAGCGUUGUUCGGAAUUAUUGGGCGUAAAGAGCACGUAGGCGGCGCGGUAAGUCCUUUGUGAAAGCCCUCGGCUCAACCGAGGAAGUGCAGAGGAAACUGCCGUGCUUGAGUACGGGAGAGGAGAGUGGAAUUCCCGGUGUAGCGGUGAAAUGCGUAGAUAUCGGGAAGAACACCAGUGGCGAAAGCGGCUCUCUGGACCGUAACUGACGCUGAGGUGCGAAAGCUGGGGGAGCGAACGGGAUUAGAUACCCCCGUAGUCC